UCCUCAACUAUAGAAGUCAAAGUGACUUGGUCAAAUCUGUACUAGCCGGCUCAUGCGAUGUGAGCUUUGAAUCCACAGUGCAAGUUUAAUAUCAGGAGAAUAUUCAUGUAAUCUUCUAUUUGUUCAUGAGUAGAAGUUUUCUUAUCCAAAAUGGGUUGGUGAGGAUGAUCAAAAGCUGGCUGAAGGAAUUAGUCUGUUUUCUAUCGCUUUGGAGAACCGUGAAAAACCUGCUAUCCUUGGAGAACUCAUUAAGGAACACGCACGCUAAAGGUGGUAAGUGCAUUGUGUUCACGCAAACAAAAAGGGAUGCUGAUAGAUUGUCAUAAAGCAUGAGUUGAAGUUUCCAGUGUGAAGCUCUUCAUGGGGACAUCUCACAAGCCCAAAGAGAGAGAACGCUGGCAGGCUUUUCGUGAUGGACGGUUUAAUAUUUUGAUUGCCACUGAUGUUGCUGCCCGUGGUUAAUAUAUACCAUGGAUCAAUUACAGGCUCGACGCCACGACACCAGAGAGAUUAAAAGUGCUGUAUAAGCUUCCCUCCAUUUUGCUUGGAUCCAUUGGUGUUCUUUUUUCAUGUUCAAAUUCACUCUUAAAUCUUAAUUUCCUUUGGAUCGAUCGAUAUUUCAUUUUAUUUUAGCAACCAAUCACUCCAAUGUUGGAUCGAUUUUCCUUUUCUUUCCAACUUUGAUUGCUACAUACAUAUACUUUUUUCACUUGAAGGGCUAAACUUUAUAAAUUUUGAUCAACAUUUUGGUCAAAUUUUAUACAUGACUAGUGUAUAAAUUGCCAAUAUUAUAUGAA